rnacentral:rRNA from 1 species
UACGUAGGGGGCUAGCAUUGUCCGGAAUCAUUGGGCGUAAAGAGCGUGUAGGCGGCCCGGUAAGUCAACGGUGAAAGCUCGACGCUCAACGUCGAGUCGGCCGUCGAUACUGCCGCGCUCGAGCACUGUAGAGGCAGAUGGAAUUCCGGGUGUAGCGGUGAAAUGCGCAGAUAUCAGGAGGAACACCGGUGGCGAAGGCGGGUCUCUGGGCCGAUACUGACGCUGAGGAGCGAAAGCGUGGGGAGCGAACAGG